UUGGAUCCGUCACCAUCUACUCACUCUCCUCUCUUGGCUGGCCUCUGUAUAUGGGCAAAUGCAAACCAAACUCCGUGAGCUUCCCACAUCAAAGUGACAGUUAUAACCAAGCCGCUGGAGGCUCGAGUUAAAAGGAGUGUCAGACACUUUCCAACGUCCUUAGAAGGCUAAACUGGUUCAAGGAAAACAAUCAGGAAAUAACCAGAUGUGUGGGCCCUGAGCUGGGCUGCAUCUGCUCCAUCCUGAGAAUAAACCAAACCCAGAUCUCCUCCCACGUGGUUUGACAGGCUUCCUAACUGGUACCUGCUGCUCACUCAGCCCAGACCACAGCUCCAUUAGGCUAACAGCUCUUUCAUUUCCCACUCGCCAGCUGACCACGACCCCAGAGCUGUUAGAAUUCUCCCUCCUUUAGAACGUGGACUAUAAAGAACGCAGGAUGGAGAAACAGAAAAACUACGUUUGUGUCCCAGAUUCUACACCUGUUCUGCGUGACCUUGAACACACUGCCUCUUUCCAAGGACUCCGUAUCACCAUCUGCAAAAUGGGGCACUGCAUCCUUACCUCCCACGCCGAGGUUAACCUUGCGGGGAUCUGGAUCCUCCCGGAAGUCCGCAGUGAGCUUAAAGACCAGUACUGGAGGGGCCUGGGGGACCUGGGCAAAGACUGACGGAGGCGCCAUCGCGACGGAAUCUGCCGAGACCUCGAGCGGGAGCCCAGAGCCGCUCAGUGCAGUGCGGGGCGCGGUGACCGGAGGAGACUCUCACCUUCACCGGCGGGCGGGGACAGCCCGCGGCUUCCAAUGGCCGAGCCGCGUCCGGAACUUGGCAACGCGCUUAACCAAUCACAACCUUCCGACGAAGAUGGGUUAGGCGGGACAAGUCUCUAUUAGCCAAUUCAAGAAGAGGAUCUUAUCGGAGGCUCGUAUGAUGCAACCAGUGCGAUUUACACCGGAGGAGGUGUGGGCGGGGACAAGGGUGAUUGGCAUAGCUUGUUCCAAUCGCUGAGGCUUUUAUUCCUUGGGGUGAUGAGGAUGUUGCGGGUGGCUGGAGUCCCGAAGGACAGACUCCUUGCCCUUCUGGCGCAUGGAGACCUGGGGCAGUGGCCCGCCCGUGGGAGUUGCAGAGGACAGGUGUUCCUGUACCUGCUGAGCAGGUGGUUGUACCCGCCAGGCCCCCGCAGUGCUCACGUUCCUGAGCUGGCCAGGCAGGGCUGACAGCCAAGCCCCCGGCAUUUGUGCGCAGAACUCCAGUGGUCCGCCUGGACACGCUGUACCCGAGCGUGGGUGACCUUGACCAUCUCCACUCAGUGUUUCCCCAGAAAGAAACCUGGGAGUGCCUUCUGCCUUGAGCGCUGGCCGAGGAGACCCUGCAGAAAGUAAGGGAUGAGCGCAUGCUAGUUUGAGAAUUUUACUCCCCGUUUACUUACAGAAAGGGGGGGCCUAGUCCUCAAGGACCUUGAAGGAUCUGGCGAGGCCUCCCUCUGUAGCGUUCCUCCCACGUGUACUGUCAUCGAUUGGCCGAUACCCAAGCUACUGCUUCUUUUUGUCAGGCGGCUCCUUCCCCGAGACUAUUUCUGCCCAGAUCCUUUCUCCACCUGUUAACCUUGAAGAUUCCUGUCUGUCAGCCCUCCAUAAAACCUUUCCUCAACCCUCA